rnacentral:rRNA from 1 species
AUACGGAGGAUCCGAGCGUUAUCCGGAUUUAUUGGGUUUAAAGGGUGCGCAGGCGGGAGAUUAAGUCGGCGGUGAAAUUUUGCAGCUCAACUGUAAAAGUGCCUUCGAAACUGGUUUCCUUGAGUGUAGAUGAAGUAGGCGGAAUUUUUGGUGUAGCGGUGAAAUGCAUAGAUAUCACGAGGAACUCCGAUUGCGCAGGCAGCUUACUAAACUACUACUGACGCUCAGGCACGAAGGCGUGGGGAUCAAACAGGAUUAGAUACCCUGGUAGUCCACGCAGUAAACGAUGAUUACUAGCUGUUUGCGAUACAAUGUAAGCGGCUGAGCGAAAGCGUUAAGUAAUCCACCUGGGGAGUACGGUCGCAAGAAUGAAACUCAAAGGAAUUGACGGGG